UAGUCCCUCUAGGUGGUCUAUCUGAUCCUCUAGUCCUCUAGUCCCUCUAGGUGGUCUAUCUGAUCCUCUAGUCCUCUAGUCCUCUAGUCCCUCUAGGUGGUCUAUCUGAUCCUCUAGUCCUCUAGUCCCUCUAGGUGGUCUAUCUGAUCCUCUAGUCCUCUAGUCCCUCUAGGUGGUCUAUCUGAUCCUCUAGUCCUCUAGUCCAUCUAGGUGGUCUAUCUGAUCCUCUAGUCCUCUAGUCCCUCUAGGUGGUCUAUCUGAUCCUCUAGUCCUCUAGUCCUCUAGUCCCUCUAGGUGGUCUAUCUGAUCCUCUAGUCCUCUAGUCCCUCUAGGUGGUCUAUCUGAUCCUCUAGUCCUCUAGUCCCUCUAGGUGGUCUAUCUGAUCCUCUAGUCCUCUAGUCCUCUAGUCCCUCUAGGUGGUCUAUCUGAUCCUCUAGUCCUCUAGUCCCUCUAGGUGGUCUAUCUGAUCCUCUAGUCCUCUAGUCCCUCUAGGUGGUCUAUCUGAUCCUCUAGUCCUCUAGUCCCUCUAGGUGGUCUAUCUGAUCCUCUAGUCCUCUAGUCCUCUAGUCCCUCUAGGUGGUCUAUCUGAUCCUCUAGUCCUCUAGUCCCUCUAGGUGGUCUAUCUGAUCCUCUAGUCCUCUAGUCCUCUAGUCCCUCUAGGUGGUCUAUCUGAUCCUCUAGUCCUCUAGUCCUUCUAGGUGGUCUAUCUGAUCCUCUAGUCCCCUAGUCCCUCUAGGUGGUAUAUCUGAUCCUCUAGUCCUCUAGUCCUCUAGUCCCGCUAUUCCUCUAGUCCCUCUAGACCUUUAGUCCUCUAGUCCCGCUAGUCCUCUAGUCCCUCUAGGUGGUCUAUCUGAUCCUCUAGUCCUCUAGUCCCUCUAGGUGCUCUAUCUGAUCCUAUAGUCCUCUAGUCCCUCUAGGUGGUCUAUCUGCUCCUCUAGUCCUCUAGUCCCUCUAGGUGGUCUAUCUGAUCCUCUAGGUGGUCUAUCUGAUCCUCUAGUCCU